rnacentral:lncRNA from 1 species
CCAUGGUAACUUGUUCAAUGUCCAAAAUUGUUUUGUUUUUCUGAAUACCUUGUACCUUUGAUAUUGUUCUGUAAUUUACAAUAUGUAUGAUAACUUUUUAAAUUUGCAGAAUUUUUUGGGCCAAAUAAGGGCCUUAUUGCCCCUACUCCUUUACUCAUCUUGAUAUUUUCACCUUCUUAAAUUGAAUUGAAAAACUUGUCAUAUUUACCCUUCAUAUAUAUUUCCCACUAUAAUAUGUUAUGUUUUUCAAAUUAAAAUAAUAAUAAAAUAAAAAUCCACAAUAACUUCACAAUAAUUAUAAAGGAAAAGAUUACAUUUAUAAUAAUAACCUUAGAAUUAUUUGUCCCCUGUUAUGUAAAUUACCCACAAUUGAAGUCCAAACUUUAUCAAUAAGAACCAAAAUUGCCCUGCAAAGAACACAUAGUAUAAUGUUAACAUUCAGAAGUCUGGCAAGACUGAACCUAAGAAAAAUCUCUAUUGUACAGACUUAGCAGUAUACCAUUGUGAAAUUUAAAACCUGCCACCCCAAGAAAGAAUUUGAAAAUCUUACAUCUAACAAUGGUAACUAAUUUACACAUAGUUUUUAAAAGCAUGAUUGACAAAUUGUUACAGUACUAUCUUCUCCUGUGAAAGUAAACUUGUACAAUUGAUAUUGCUAGCCUAACUAAACGACAGAUUUUUUUGAGAAACUAUUUCUAAUUUAUAAAUAACAUAAUGUGAGCUUCUGUAAUGUGACCGUAUUAUUAUAAUGUUAAGUAGAUAUCCAACAAAUAUUUUGAUUUAUUCAAUCAAAAUGGAUUUAACAAAAGUAUAUCACAUUUAAAUUUCAACUGUUAUUAAAUAAUGUACAUUCCUGGAGUUAAUUUCACAAAAAUACUUACGACUUAGAUUGAUCAUAAGUAUGCUGAAUUGUUCAUGACUUACUACCCAUCUUAAUUGAAAGUUGUUUUGUGAAACUGACUCCGGGCUUAAAAUGUUUUGGUUUGAGCAUUGCUGAUAAAGGUACAUCCAAGAAAAGACUUCAGUUUGCAAUAUUGUAAAUAUAGACACUGCAAUUUCCAAUAGGAACUCACUUUGCGGCUAAAUCUUUGCCACUUUUACUAUGAAGUUUCAAAGGUCUAAAUAAAGGGCUGUACAACAUAUUUUCAACAUUUAUUUACCCUGAACUUCAAAGAGUUUAACCUUAUACUAAAAUUUUAUACAACCCCUUACUCCCACUUUAGGACAUCCUAAGAAACAAAUUUUAGGCGCUACCAUGUUUUUUUAUUCUGUUAAAAUUCCAAAGUUAUGUCACUAUGAGAUGAAUUACAGAUAUCAUGAAUUUACAUAUUGCAACCUAAAGACUCACAAAAUUUACCUAUUUUUUUUUGUUAUCAUUCUAGUAUUUGUUUUUGAUGGAAAGUUGCUUUUUGCUCUAUCAUCAUAUACUUAAGAAAUUAGGUCUUUUGACUUUUAAGACUGUGUUGGUCUAGACACUGAUUAUAUAAAUCCAAAACAAUUAAAACCUAUUUAAUCAUCAAUAAGGACACAAACUUUAAUCCUAAAUAACUUUUAAACAUUAGUACAAUA